rnacentral:rRNA from 1 species
UACGUAGGGACCGAGCGUUGUCCGGAAUCAUUGGGCGUAAAGAGCGUGUAGGCGGCCUUUUAAGUCCUGCGUGAAAUCCUGCGGCUCAACCGCAGACGGUCGUGGGAAACUGGAAGGCUAGAGUGCGGGAGAGGAGAGUGGAAUUCCCGGUGUAGCGGUGAAAUGCGCAGAUAUCUGGAGGAACACCAGUGGCGAAGGCGGCAUCCUGGACCGGCAUUGACGCUGAGGCGCGAAAGCUAGGGGAGCAAACGGG